rfam:Triticum aestivum genome assembly, contig: Triticum_aestivum_CS42_TGACv1_scaffold_391109_5AL
CAAAUACUACUUCCGUCCACAAAUACUUGUCAUCAAAAUGGAUAAAAGGAAAUGUAUCUAGACGUAUUUUAGUUUUAGAUACAUCUCUUUUUAUCCAUCUGAUGACAAGUAUUGUCGUAAGGAGGGAGUAGAAA